rnacentral:rRNA from 1 species
GAUGAACGCUAGCGGGAGGCCUAACACAUGCAAGCCGAGCGGUAGAGUCUCUUCGGAGACUUGAGAGCGGCGCACGGAUGCGGAACACGUGUGCAACCUGCCUUUAUCUGGGGGAUAGCCUUUCGAAGGGAAGAUUAAUACCCCAUAAUAUACUGGAUGGCAUCAUCUGGUAUUGAAAACUCCGGUGGAUAGAGAUGGGCACGCGCAAGAUUAGAUAGUUGGUGAGGUAACGGCUCACCAAGUCAGCGAUCUUUAGGGGGCCUGAGAGGGUGAUCCCCCACACUGGUACUGAGACACGGACCAGACUCCUACGGGAGGCAGCAGUGAGGAAUAUUGAACAAUGGGUGAGAGCCUGAUCCAGCCAUCCCGCGUGAAGGACGACGGCCCUAUGGGUUGUAAACUUCUUUUGUAUAGGGAUAAACCUAGAUACGUGUAUCUAGCUGAAGGUACUAUACGAAUAAGCACCGGCUAACUCCGUG